rnacentral:rRNA from 1 species
AGUAACGCGUAGGUAAUCUACCCUUAUAUUUGGGAUAACAUCGGGAAACUGGUGCUAAUACCGAAUGGUCUUCAUUUCUUCGGGGAGAUGGAGUAAAGGUGGCCUCUUCAUGAAAGCUACCGUGUAGGGAUGAGCCUGCGUACCAUUAGCUAGUAGGUGGGGUAAUGGCCCACCUAGGCUACGAUGGUUAGCGGGUCUGAGAGGAUGAUCCGCCACACUGGAACUGGAACACGGACCAG